ensembl:lncRNA
GCUGGGCACCACAGUCCAGCCAGCACGCUAUGCAUUAAAUGUUACACAUUUGUGUAAAUCCCCCGCCCCUCCUCUUGAGUUUCCCCACGGUGUCUCAAACAGGAGCAUCUUCUUUUUUAGAUUGUUGCUCUUUUGACUUUCCAAAUUCCUCCUCACCACUCCCCCCUCCCCCAAACACUCCCUCUUUGUCUUUCAGACUGCUGACAGCACACCUAAGGUGCACUGUUUUUUUCCCCCCAGCUGUCCACCUCAGGAUCCAGACAUCCCAUCUGCAGAUAGGCGUUCAGAGGACAAGAACUGGACAGGACACGCACCCUCAACACCACGUAGCAGCACCACCACAGACAUGUCGGACUCUGAAACCGCCGCCGCCCCUGCUGAGGCCCCCGUCCCUGCUGCUUGUGCAAACAUCAAGGCUGACCUGGACAAGUGUGUGGCAGAGAAGGGAGCCGAGGGCUGCAAAGAUCUGAUGGAGGCCUUCGCUGCUUGUGUGAAGAGUGCAGCUGAAGGGACAUCAUGAGGAGUCGCCCUCCAGCCUCAAAUGUCCACUGCACUGAGUCCUCCAAGUUCCCAGCAUUUUCCUUCUGCACAACAGCACUGGACUGAUGACAACAACUUGAAUGAUGAAGAUGAUGAUGAUGAUCAUCACAGAGAGGCAAACACUGUGUUGAUUUGGGCCGAGUUUGGGAUCUGGUGGCAGAAACCACAGUUUCCUCCCCCCCUGUCCUCCUCCUCAUGUUUUAGGCUUUUCUGGGUCCCGCAGUCUUACCCGCUAUUCCCCUCGUCCCUAUGGCUGAUAUACAUUAUACUGACAAUUCCAGAGAGCCAAUGGGCUGUGAUGUAAAUUGUCGACUUGAAAUGAAUACUUAUAAAUGGAAAUAAAAAGUAUGAAAUACUUGGUAUAAAAACCAACUUGUGAUUUCUGGCCUCUUGAUUCAUCAUACUGAGGAUGCAGCAACCUUUGACCCAAUAGUAGUUUUGCCUUGUAGAGGUUAGAAGUUAGCAUGUACACCAAAACAGUAAAUACGCACAAUAACUUCUAAAUAACCGAGUAGCAAACUGAACAUGUUUGUGAUCGUCAAAAGGAUAAAGUGAUGACACUGCUUCUGACAUCAGUGCUAACUAAAAUGGCUGUAUAGAGACACACAUUAUUGUAUUGCUACAGUAUGUCUUUCUUUAUUUUCUCUCCAAUUUUUCACUUUCAACUUUUUCAAAAACAUAUAUAUUAAUAAAGUAAAUAUGUCCUAAGGACUGGUUUGUCCAGGGAUUGUUUAUGCUUAGCUAUCUUCAAUGUUAGCAUUUUGAUGCUAAGCUUGGUUAGGAUACACAUAUAAGAUGGUUAAAACUAAUAAAAUACUAGAAUCUCACUCACCAAGUCUGAAGGACAAACUUGUUGGAUGGUUUGUGCCACACAGCAAAGCACAUCAUCAGUCAGACAAUCCGCAAAAAUGUUUGACCAUGACUGUUGUGUUUUCCACCCGCUAUGUCAAUCGACACUGUUUGAUUAACUGAAUUCAGGUUAAAAUACUUUGAGCACUAACUUGAAAGCCAAAUAGUGCUCAAACGUCUCUUUGUGACAGGACUGACAGCCAG